GUAAGGAAUAUUGGACAAUGGGCGCAAGCCUGAUCCAGCCAUCCCGCGUGCAGGAAGACGGCCCUAUGGGUUGUAAACUGCUUUUAUUAGGGAAGAAUAGUAUCAACUUGUUGAUAUAUGACGGUACCUAAGGAAUAAGCACCGGCUAACUCCGUGCCAGCAGCCGCGGUAAUACGGAGGGUGCAAGCGUUAUCCGGAAUCACUGGGUUUAAAGGGUGCGUAGGCGGAAUAAUAAGUCAGGCGUGAAAGGUUACAGCUUAACUGUAGACUUGCGUUUGAUACUGUUAUUCUUGAAUUAAGAUGAGGUUGGCAGAAUGCGACAUGUAGCGGUGAAAUGCAUAGAUAUGUCGUAGAAUACCGAUUGCGAAGGCAGCCAACCGGACUUAAAUUGACGCUGAGGCACGAAAGCGUGGGGAGCGAACAGGAUUAGAAACCCGAGUAGUCC
rnacentral:rRNA from 1 species